UACCGAAACUCGGGAUCUAACCUGGGACCUUUAAAUCUUCAAUCUAACAUUCUCCCAACUAACCUAUCUCUGC